rnacentral:lncRNA from 1 species
GUUUAGUGAAACAUUAUGUAGAGACUCUGACAAGGAAAUGAAAUGUGCAACAUCAAUCAGCCUAUGAGGACGGAGAUCAAACGGCCCUCCACACUCCUGCAUCUGGUUCUGUUUGGACUGGCCUUUCUUUUUUCUCUUCCCCUCCUUUCUUUCUUUCUUCUCUCUUUUCCCUUCCUUUAUUCCUCUCCCAUUCUCUGUCCCUCUCUUUCUUUUCCCCUCUGUUCUGCGCGAGGGGUGUGCGUUUCCAUGCUGUUCCUGUUAGGCUGUCGUUCGCUCAUUCUUUCCAUGAUGGUGGCAUGGAGGCAUGCUCUGCUAAGGAAGGACGCCAAAUGGAUGGACUCAUCUCCCUCUCUUUAAAAGGUCUGUUCCUGUCGAACCAGUAGUUCCCCCCGCUAUACCCUUAUCUCCCCUUCUUUGGAAGCCCUGCCCCACAGACAUGGGCAUUGGACCGGACACAUGCUUCGGUUUAAGGACAGAUAUCCAGUCGACUCUCCUUGUGCAGCCUGACAGACAGUAUGAUAAUGCCAACAUACAGUAUGUGACAAACUUCGGAACUGAAGUGAGGAGGAUACUUAAGGGUCACAUGAUGAACUUUCUGUACGUUAAAAACGUCCAACGCAUCGGCCCUUUCCCUGUCCCUUUAUGCCACUUCAAAAGACUCUUUAAAAGAGGAAGAUUCUUUUGACCACUGAGAUGACUUAUGAUCGUGAUAAUUGCAGUGAUGAUCGUCAUAAGGAUGCCAGAGUAAUCGAUAGCUGGUGGUCCCAGCCCAACGAAUGUUUACAGCAAAGAUGCUUAUAAGCUUUAGGCUUUUCAACCUCAAAUGUAUAGGUAGGAAAAGCCAAAGAAGCCCGACGCACAUUUUCAGCAGUUGUAUAAACUAAUCGGCUUGAUUUCUGUUGCCUUGUACAUGUUUUUCUCUGUGUUGCAUUAUUUCCCUUCACAGCGAAUGGAUUUAGCAUGUGCAUAUGCAUAUUACAUUAUAAUGACUUUAUAUUAGAGUAAUUAAGCAAUAAUCUAUGCAGGCAACCUGUAAUACAUGAGUAAUGCACACAGUUUUGUAGCAUGCACAGAUUAUGGAUAGAUUAGACAUAGACAUAGUGGAUAGAUUCCACUCAUGUCUUUCUGAUAUAUUGUUACUUGUCUGUAGGAUUUAAGUAUGAAAAAACGUAAUAUGCAAAACAACAAUGAAAUAGUACAUUACAUAAAGAGUAACAGAUAACAUUUUGUUGUACUUUGUGCAAGUGACGGUCUAGUAGUUUUAAAUGCAAGACGAGAGGAAAAUAUAGUUUGAAUAUUGUAAGUUUAGUAAUUCCUCAGGAUUUCUCUUUAAGAUUGUGCAUAGUACUUACUGCAAUACCCUAUCAGUAAAUGUAUUAAGAAUGGAAAACAGUGCCAUGUACUUUUUAAAAACAUUUGAUAAAUUCAGAUUUUGUGCUACUGGGUAUUGUUAGGUCACGGCAAUGUUAUCUGAUAUACUGUCGCCAGAAAAUGUAGUUUGUCAAUAUUUUUUCAUCCUAAUGCUCAGCUGUGGUUCUCUUAGAUUUUUUUGUCUCCAGCUUUUCAUUACAUGAGCUCCUGUGGAAAAUAAUAAUAAAUGCUGUUUUAAUAAAAUACCACUGAAAUAGUCUGGAAAAAGCCCAUUUUCAAAGACAUGUUGCAUCUUUCUGUCUCAUAGAAACUUGUCUAACACAGUGCACAUAUUGAGAGUGUAGUAUGCAUAACAAAGAGUACAUGGAUAGACAAGACAAUGUCUUAUAUGUUAUAUCUUAUAAAACAAGAUACAAAAGAAGUGGAUAGCAAUACCCUUUGUAUUUGGACAAAGCAAGGCAGGAUCCAAGAUUUUUGUCAAAAUGUGUUACAUUACCAAGUCAUGUGUUUUUACAUUACCGAAAUAGCUGAGUGCUUGGUGUAAGUAAAAUAUUGCCCAAUAUUUCAAACAUUAUUGAAAGGAUACAAAAUAUACACUUCAGAAAAAAACUACGUUGAGAACUUUAAUUACCCUUUUAUUGAGGAAAACAGUUUAUAGAAAAAAAUAUAGAAAAAAAACAAAACACAACAUUAUUUUUUACUGUACAAGUACAAACCAAUAAAGACAAACAGUGAGAAACAAAUCCCUACUUGGCUUGUUUUCUAAAUUAAGAUUCAGUUCAAUAAAGCUUCCUUUCUAUAGGUUUGUCAGUAUAAUUCAAAGCACAGGAUGUCUGUAUUUUGGUCUCAGUAGCUAUCGACAACAUCAAUAACCAACGGAAGAGCAAUAAUUCAUAUUAAGACAAUUAAAGGGAUUGUUGAUUCUCAAAAAACAGAUUUACAUUUACAGAACACAAAUAUUCUCAGAAGAAUUGAAUUAAACCGGAAAUAAACCACAAUAAAAUAUGAAAUAGGACCUUUCUGAAAAAGAUAUCAAGAAUGUAUUUGUGGUGGCCAUUUUGUUCUACUUGAUCAUAGGUAAAUGUAUUAUUUCAUUCUCAAUGAUGUCAUUUUCACAUUGUCAAUGUCAUUAAUAUCAUACAUAUAUUGCAGGGUCUUGUCAAGUACACUCUUUAAAAAAAGGUCCUAUCUAGAACCUAAAAGGCUGUCCCCAUAGGAGAAGUCUUUGAAGAAACCUUUUUGGUUUCAGGUAGAACCUUUUUGGGUUCCAUGUAGAACCAUUUCCACAGAGGGUCCUACAUUGAACCCAAAAGGGUUCUACCUGGAACCAAAAAGGGUUCUAUCUGGAAUCAAAAAUAGUUAUCCUAUGGGGACAACCGAAUAACCCUUUCGGAACCCUUUUUCUAAGAGUGUAAGGUCUUGGUUGUAUAAUGUAUAUUAUACAGCACCAUUAUAAACUAUAACAUGAUAGUUCAAAUUAACCUGUAGCACCAUCAGAUUUUCAUAAAACACAAUACAUAAGCACAGCACUGCAAAGGAAUUAAAAGGGCAACAUAUAAAUCUAUUACAUCUUUAUCUCAUGGAAAGGGCCAACAAGAAAUGUAAAGCAGUUUUUAAAUCCUUCUUUGGUGAUAUUUAGCUGCAAAAUCUCUGUUUAGAUACAAUUACUAUCAGGAAUUCACAAGAAUCUUUGAAGUUAUGCUCAGAGGCCCUACCAGUCCACGACUGGCAUAAUGUUCCCAUAAGACUUUUAGGCUUUUAUUUCUCUCAACCUGUGUCCAAUUGUUCUACAUGGAAAGUCAACUAGCUCAACAAGCUAACUCCGACGGCUAAAUGCUAACUGUCCAACAGCACUUUGGUCCAGGAACAAAAAUCAUUGACUGUUUUUGUAAAUAGAGUGGUUUCAGAUGAGAACAAAUCCUAGUUCACCUGUCUUUUAGAUUUGUAGAAAAGCAAGUAUCAAGAAAUACAGCCUAUAGAUAUAUAAAAUAGAGCAGGCAUGUCAAUCAAUCCACAUGUUAAAACACUGGUCUUUGUGAAAUCACAACAGAAAAACAAUUUAAAAAAAGGCAUCGCCAGAGUGGACUACACGUAAAAAAUAGGUCAUUUUACUAAAGCACAAUUCCAAUACUUAAGACAUCGUAAGUGCAUUUCUUUUUUGUGAGUCCGGUGUUGUCUACAUACAACUUUUAAGUGCCAUCCAUAGUUAAACAACUCAUUUAUAGUAACUGAUCUGAAGUCCAUUCAACUGUUUUAAUAAUCUGCGUUAAACCCAGCACCAUUAUUAUAAUAUAUAUAUUUUUUAACUUUAUGUUAACCCUCGCAAGCUGCCAGCCCAGACAGCAUACCAAUCUGCGUCCUCAGUGCAUAACAGACCAGCUGGCUGGAGUGUUUACAGACAUAUUCAACCACUCGCUAUCCAAGUCUGUUGUCCCCAUUUGCUUCAAGAUGUCCACCAUUGUUCCUGUACCCAAGCAAACUAAGAUAACUGAACUAAAUGACUAUCGCCCCAUAGCACUCACCUCUGUCAUCAUCAUUACAAUUUGCAUACCACCCUAAAAAGAUCCACGGAUGAUGCGCUCACCGUUGCACUGCACACCGCCCUAUCCCACGUGAACAAGAGGAAUACCUAUGUGAGAAUGUUGUUUAUCUCUGCUUUCAACACCAUUAGUGCCCUCCAAGAAAAUAACCUCUCCCUCAAUGUAAAAAAAAACAAAGGAGCUGAUCGUGGACUAUAAGAGACAGAAGAGGGAGCACACCUCCAUCCACAUCGACGGGGCUGCAUUUGAGAGGGUCAAAAGCUUUGAGAGGGUCAAACGAUUUUGGCAUGCACAUCACUGAGGACCUGAAAUGGUCCCACCACACCGACACCAUAGUGAAUAAGGCGCAACCGCGCCUCUUCAAUCUCAGGCGGCUGAAGAAAAUCACCACUUCUACAGAUACACCACUGAGAGCAUUCUGUCGCGGUGCAUAACCGCCUGGUAUGGCA